UUUAAAGAAAAAUCAGAAAGAUGCGUGUGCUCUGCAUGUGACUCAAACGAAUCUCCUCAUUUCUGGGUUAUGGCAAUUUUGAAGAUGAAAAAUAGUCAUUGUUAUUAAAAUAUUCUUCAGUACACGAAUAACACAAGCAUGCAAAAAAAAAAAAAAAAAUAGUUUGCGCAAUAGUUUAAGGUUUACUUGAAUUAUCCCAACAGCAGCAGCGUUCGUGAUUUUUCUUAAUUUAUUUUAAAGCAUUUUCGUUA
rnacentral:lncRNA from 1 species